rnacentral:rRNA from 1 species
AGGUUACUGCUAUCGAGGUUCGACUAAGCCAUGCGAGUCGAAUGUAGCAAUACAUGGCGUACUGCUCAGUAACACGUGGACAACCUACCCUUGGGACGGGGAUAAACCCGGGAAACUGGGUAUAAUACCCGAUAGAUCUCGGACGCUGGAAUGCAUCGAGAUCGAAAACUCCGGUGCCCAAGGAUGGGUCUGCGGCCUAUCAGGUAGUAGUGGGUGUAGCGUACCUACUAGCCUACGACGGGUACGGGUUGUGAGAGCAAGAGCCCGGAGAUGGAUUCUGAGACACGAAUCCAGGCCCUACGGGGUGCAGCAGGCGCGAAAACUUUACAAUGCCGGCAACGGCGAUAAGGGGACCUCGAGUGCCAGGUUACAAAUCUGGCUGUCGUAAUGCCUAAAAAGCAUUUCAUAGCAAGGGCCGGGCAAGACCGGUGCCAGCCGCCGCGGUAACACCGGCGGCUCGAGUGGUAACCGUUAUUAUUGGGUCUAAAGGGUCUGUAGCCGGCCGGAUAAGUCUCUUGAGAAAUCUGGCAGCUUAACUGUCAGGCUAUCAGGGGAUACUGUCUGGCUCGAGGCCGGGAGAGGUGAGAGGUACUUCAGGGGUAGGGGUGAAAUCUUGUAAUCCUUGAAGGACCACCAGUGGCGAAGGCGUCUCACCAGAACGGACCUGACGGCAAGGGACGAAAGCUAGGGGCACGAACCGGAUUA